CAACUCAAUUUUUAAGACGGCAGACUAAGAGUCAUGCCUUGUUCGCUAAUAUUUCGUCUUUUCCUUCCAGUUUUGCCCUCCAAUUCAGUGUGUGUCGCCUAGAUGAUUCUUGCACAACGAAAUCUUCAACCCAACAGUCUAAAUUUAAGACAGCCAAUUGAUAAUUGAAGAAACAGUGGGAGGAAUAAUCAAUUAGGUUUGAUGAAUGAAACUGAAAGAAUCAAUACAUUCUCAAUUGAUGAUGCUAUUGCCCAGGCCAGCAAACUUUUCACUUCCCUCUUUUUCACCAUAAAUAUCUUUUCAAAGAAAAAAAAGUUAGGGUUCAAAGAAGCCCUAUCACCGUCGAUUGCCUGUUGACUGACUCGAUCGCUGGUUGGUUAGAGUUUUAUUUGGUUGAUUUCCAUGCUAUUGGAGUGGGGUUCCUUUGGGUUGCUUGUGUUUUGGUAAGGAUUGUUCUGCUUUCUAUGCAUUUCUUUUAUGGAUUUGAGUUUCACCCUUCUGAAAAAGCUGUACUGAAUUACUAUAAUAGUGAAUCUUAGAAAAUCAUUGGACUUUAUAUACUUUGAACACCUUUAGCAACAGGCUCUAUUAUCAGUAUGGCUGAGCUGGUACUUAGGGGGCACCAAGUCGUCUACUUCCCACUUGAGUUCAUACUUAACCAUGGGCUGCUUGUUACCUAACAACUGAGGGUUGUAACACGCGAGGUAACCAUCAAAGGGUCACUACACUGCUGAAAUUUUGCAUCCUAGAGGAAAAUGGUUGUGUUUUGAAGAUGCAUCAGUAGACUCUAUUUCUACCAACAAAGUCCUUGAUGAUCAAGCUUAUGUUCUCUCCUGCGAGCAACGGUAAAAUUUACGGUAGGCAAGGACAUCAGGGAUGUUAUGGAGUAUUCAAGAUCAUAUCUCCACUUUGGUAAGAUAUUUAACAGCCGGAUCUAAUGGGGGGUAAAAGCCCAAAGCUUGUGGGAUAAACUACCUACCGAGAGCCCUAAAAAUCAACCAAGAGGUACUUUCCAAGGGAGUGAGAUUCUACGGCCAUAUAUGAUCUACAAAUAUUGCCUUUCUAUGUAUCUCACACUUUUUUUUUUUUUUUUUAAAUUGGAACAUCAUUUCAUCUAUCUAUAUUGGUGGCAAUUUCGAACUAUCCGAUAACUUUUACUAAUCUGUUUGUCAUCCCGCAGCAUCGCGAGGCUUUUAAAUGAUAUGAUGAUGUUGAUAAUUUUGAUCUGGAUUGGAAAAUGUAUGAAGAGUAUUAUUGUGGAGUUGAAUUUUAGUUAAGCUAAAA